CAUGCUUUAAUUGCUGAGAAACAAUAUACAUUGCACUGGCUCCUCCCCACCUGCUUAUUUUGCAGACUGAGCAUCAAAUUAAACUCUGCAGGACAAAGCAAACUCAGUCAACCUUUAGGACCAUAUAGCAUUUCAUUAAUUUCUCUUGAUGCAUAAAGCUUUAUUUUUCAGACUUUGAUGCAACAGCAUGGCUUGCCCUCAACAAUCAGAUGAGCUUGUCUUUUUCGUGAAUGGCAGGAAGGUAAUAGAGAGGCAGGCAGAUCCCGAAGAAUUGCUGCUGUAUUAUCUAAGAAAGGAGCUCCGUCUUUCAGGUACAAAAUAUGGCUGUGGAGUAGGAGGCUGUGGUGCCUGCACUGUGAUGAUAUCCACAUAUGAUCCUGUUGCCAAACUGAUACAUCAUCGUCCUGCCAACUCCUGCCUUCUCCCGUUAUGUUCACUGCAUGGUGCUGCUGUCAUUACUGUGGAAGGGGUUGGAAGCAUAAAAACCCGGAUUCAUCCAAUUCAGGAAAGGCUGGCCAUAUGCAAUGGCUCCCAGUGUGGCUUCUGCACCCCUGGAAUGGUGAUGUCCAUGUAUGCCUUACUGAGAAACCAUGCAGAACCUUCCAUGGAGCAGAUUGUUUCUGCUCUGGAUGGUAAUUUGUGCCGUUGCACAGGAUACAGGCCAAUUAUAGAAAGCUACGCAUCUUUUGCUAGGGAGCCAACAUGUUGCCAACUCAGAGGAACUGGACAAUGUUGCUUGGAUCAGGAGGAAUGUGUCUCUUCAUCUUCUACAGGGGGUGAGAUCCUUUCAGGUCUUUGCAAACCAGAACAAUUCCUGCCCAUGGAUCCAACACAGGAAUUUAUAUUUCCUCCUGAACUAAUGAGAAUGGCUCAAGAGCAGCAAAGAACAACUCUAAUUUUUCAUGGCAAAAGAACAACAUGGAUUUCUCCUCCUAGCCUGAAGAAGCUUCUGAAGCUGAAAGCCAAGUAUCCAAAGGCACCUUUGGUUGUGGGGAACACUAGUGUGGGACUCAAAAGAAAUCACAGUGGUGCCUAUCAUCCAAUCAUUCUCCAUCCUGUUAGGAUUUCAGAAAUGCAUGUUGUGAGUAGCACAAGUGAUGGGCUAGUAAUAGGAGCUGCCUGCUGCUUGGCCCAGCUCAGAGACAUCCUAAUGAAGGCAGUCACAGAACUUCCAGCAGAGAAAACGAAAACAUACCAAGCUCUCUUGCAGCACCUGAGAACUCUAGCUGGAGAACAGAUCAGGAGCAUGGCGUCUUUAGGAGGACACAUUGUAAGCAGAGGAUCAUCCUGGGACUUGAAUCCAAUCUUAUCAGUUGGCAAAUCUGUCCUCAACUUGGCAUCAGAAGAUGGUAAAAGACAGAUUCUUUUAAAUGAUCGUUUCCUUGCUGGCUGUGAGCAUGCAGACAUAAAUGCCAAGGAGGUCAUUGUUUCUGUUCUCAUUCCAUACUCUGUGAAGGAUGACUUUAUUUCAGCCUUCAGACAGGCUGAAAGACAGAAAAAUGCUUUGUCCAUAGUGAAUUCUGGAAUGCGAGUGCCCUUCCAUCCAGGCACAGACACCAUUGUAGAUCUGAGUAUUUUAUUUGGAGGCAUUGGCUCAACAACACUCAGUGCAAGAAAGUCCUGUGAGAAGCUUAUAGGAAGGCAAUGGAAUGAUCAGAUGCUGAAUGAAGCUUGCAAACUGGUGCUAGAGGAAAUUGUUCUCCCUCCAUCAGCUUCAGGUGGAAAAGUAGAAUAUAGAAGAACUCUGCUUGUCAGCUUUCUUUUCAGAUUUUACCUGGAAGUGUUACAUGGUUUACAUCAGAUGUAUCCCUUCAGGUAUGCUGAGCUUUCACAGGAGAAGAUGAGUGCUUUGGGAAUGCUGCAAAGUGGUGUUCCCCAGGGUGUCCAGAUCUAUCAGGAUGUUGACCCAGGACAGUCUCCACAAGAUCCCGUGGGCCGUCCCAUCAGGCACCAGUCUGGAAUUAAGCACACCACUGGUGAGGCAGUUUUCAUUGAUGACAUUCGUCCUGUGGAUGGAGAACUCUCCCUAGCUGUGGUCACCAGCGUUAAAGCCCAUGCAGAGAUCAUAUCAAUUGAUGCAUCAGAAGCCCUUCAGGUGCCAGGAGUGGUUGAUGUAGUGACAGCAAGAGAUGUUCCAGGGAAAAAUGGCAAAGAUGAGCAAGCAUAUGCAGAAGAUAAGGUGAUUUGUGUUGGUCAGAUAAUCUGUGCUGUGGUUGCAGAGUCACUGACUCAGGCAAAGUGUGGGGCUGGAAAGGUGAAGAUAGUCUACAAAGAUCUGGACCCAAUUCUGACUAUUGAGGAUGCAAUAAAACAUAAUUCAUACAUUACUGAAGAAAGGAAAAUAGAAAAAGGAGAUAUUGUGAAAGGAUUCAAGUCUGCUGAUGAAAUAAUCGAAGGUGAAUUGCACGUGGGAGGACAGGAACAUUUUUACAUGGAAACAAAUAGUGUACUUGUUAUUCCAAGAGUGGAGGAUAAAGAAAUGGAUGUGUAUGUGUCAACUCAGCAUGCAACAGAUGUACAGGAAUUAGUGGCUUCAGCUUUAAACCUCCAGUCCAGUAAAGUUAUGUGCCAUGUGAAACGUGUUGGUGGAGCAUUUGGUGGGAAGAUUACUAAACCUUCCCUCUUUGCUGUAAUUGCAGCCGUGGCAGCCAACAAGACAGGGCAUCCAGUCCGUUUUGUCCUGGAAAGAAAUAUGGAUAUGUUAAUCACUGGUGGACGGCACCCUUUCUUUGGAAAAUAUAAAGUUGGAUUCAUGAAUGAUGGUAGAAUAAUAGCUGCAGAUUUUCAGUGCUAUAUAAAUGGUGGCUGUACAAAAGAUGAAUCUGAAUUGGUGAUUGAGUACAUUGUGUUGAAAGUGGACAAUGCAUACAAUAUCCCCAACCUCCGAGUCAGGGGACAUGCCUGCAAGACUCACCUGCCUUCUAAUACUGCCUUCCGAGGAUUUGGGUUUCCCCAAGCAGGUCUGCUUAUGGAGACCUGUAUUGUGGCUGUGGCGACCCAAACUGGCCUACCACAUGAGAAGGUUAGGGAAAUAAACAUGUACAAAGGAGUUAACCUAACAUCCUUCAAAGAAAAGUUUGAUGCAGAGAAUCUGUGGAAGUGUUGGGAAGAAUGUUUGGACAAAUCUGACUACUACAGUCGAAAAGCAAUGGUGGAAGAAUUUAACACUAAAAAUUAUUGGAAAAAGAAAGGGAUUGCCAUCAUUCCAAUGAAGUUUUCUGUUGGAUUUAAUGCAACUUAUUUUCAUCAGGCUGGAGCUCUUGUCCACAUCUAUAUAGAUGGGUCUGUGCUAGUCACUCAUGGUGGAAUUGAACUGGGACAAGGAAUUCACACUAAGAUGUUACAGAUUGCCAGUCGUGAACUGAAGAUACCACUGUCAUAUAUCCACUUCUGUGAAACAAGCACAACAACUGUACCUAAUGGCAAAUACACAGCAGGAUCAGUCGGAACUGAAAUCAAUGCAAGAGCAGUGCAGGAUGCCUGUCAAAUCCUUUGGAAGCGCCUGGAGCCUAUUCGAAGAGACAAUCCUGAUGGCAAAUGGGAAGACUGGAUCAGUGAAGCUCACAAGCAAAGCAUCAAUCUUUCAGCUACUGGCUAUUUCAAGGGUUAUCAUACAAACAUGAACUGGGACACACAGAAAGGCCAUGCGUUCCCAUAUUUUCUCUUUGGAGUUGCAAGUUCUGAAGUAGAAAUUGACUGUUUGACAGGAGCCCACAAGAAUAUCAGAACAGACAUUGUCAUGGAUGCCUGUUUUAGCAUAAAUCCAGCUAUAGAUAUAGGACAGAUUGAAGGGGCCUUUAUUCAGGGGGUUGGUCUUUAUACAUUAGAAGAAAUCUACUUUUCUCCACAAGGAGAGCAGCUCACUCUUGGCCCAGACACAUAUAAGAUCCCUGCUGUCUGUGACGUUCCUGAGCAGUUCCGUGUCUAUUUACUGCCCAAUUCACGCAACUCAAUUGCCAUCUAUUCUUCCAAGGGCAUGGGCGAGGCUGGAUUAUUCUUGGGCAGCUCAGUGUUCUUUGCAAUACGAGAUGCAGUGGCUGCUACACGGAAAGAAAGAGGAUUGUCCCUGGACUUCACACUGAACAGCCCCUCGACUGUUGAGCGGAUUCGCAUGGCCUGUGGUGAUGUCUUUACUGAGAUGUGGCACCUUGUUCAGCCAUGUUGACAGAGUAACAUGAACUGACAGUCCAGAACUGAGGAACCUGUGCUGUUUCCUCAGUGGUAUAAUGCAUAGGUUUGAGAAUGGUACAGUUCCCCACUCUUAAAGUGCGAUACAGCUCUGGCUGUUUUUGACAUUCUAUUAUCUUCUAAUAUCUUCCCUCUCACAGAUGGAACAGAUUCCAAAAGACAAACCUGGAACCUACAAGCCAUGGGCCAUCGAUAUAGCUUAGUACUGCUUUCCUAAGUAUCAACCAACCAGGUGAUUCCUUCAGCCACUUACUGAUCAAAAGCAUUCAUGCAAGAAAGAACUGUAAUACUUACAUGUACACAUGCAUACAUAUAUAUAUAUCACACCAUCUUUGCAGAACAAGAUAUAAGCACCAGUUCUAUUGUAAGUCUCUAAGUAAAAGACCUCUCAUUAAUGUCUUUCAUGCUACACUGGAAUAGAUGGGGAGUUAACUCAAGAACUUCAAAGCAUUUGCAUGAGAUUCUGAAAAUAUCUGCAGUGACGAGCAGAUCACAAAUAGUACCAUUUUGUCACUUCUACAUCCAGUUUGAGAGUCACAGCUGUUGUUAUCUAUUUUUUCUGUUCUUCUAACAUACGAAAAUCCCAAAGAUCAGAAUUAGACAAUGUACAAAUUAGUGAUGGGCAAUGUAUCAAUAUUUCAGUAAAAGAGAUAUUCUGAAAGUACAUACUACCAAAUAUUUCUAGACACCGAUACAUUAUUACCACUACAGUAACCACAGUAAUACACCAGUAAAGCUUCUUUGCUUCCUGGCAGCCUACCUCAAGCCUGCUCCUUACCACCAGAUCACUUUGAACCACUAUCAACGUCGACCUCUCCUAGAGCUGGAAUAUAAUCACUGCUAUUCACUCACUGCCUCGUCAUCACUUGUUCCUCUUCUCCUCUUCCUUACCCACAGUUUUGCUCCUUCUUUCCAGCAAAAUGGUGAAGCAGAACACAGCUGAUGCUUUCAUCUGCAGGUGAGGAGAGGGCACGAUGCAAGAGAGGUGUACUGGAGGUAGGAAGGGUUAAAGCAGGACAGGUUCCCAGUACCAGCUUCGAGUGACCAUAACGCAGGUGAGGUUGCCCAUUGCAGCCGUCAGCAGGCCUGCAUAGCAGAUGUGUAGAUGAAAAGGUGGAGGGGAGCAGAGCUGUGAGGGAAACAAUGACAAUAGAAGUUCAUCGUAGUGUGUCAGCUCACAGUUUAACUGAGCUGUGCCAAACAACUGGCACUCUGACAGAGAUUAUUUCGGAAAGGAGCUUUUAAAGUGAUCCAGUGGCAGCUGUAUGCUCAUUUCCCCAUGAGGAGAGGAGACUGAAAAGCAAGUGCAAAGGUAUUUGAGAGUGAGAAAAGGGAAUGGCUGAGCUAAGCCAACAUAGGAAUAUAUACAAAUCAAUAUUCGACUUUGAUAUUUGAUAGUUCAAAGCAAUAAAAUUUACAGUAAGAACACAUUUAACAACAUGAUUGUGUACCCAAAACACUAGCAUAAGAAAUAACUGGAGGUGCUUAACAGGUAUUUCAUUAGUUCAGAUCCUCAUUUAUAUAGACAGAAAUUUAGACUAUUUUCAUUUAUUUUAAGGGUGAGGCUUAAAUUAACUCAGUAUAGAAGAGAGUGCAACCUGCACACACCCUCAAAUAAGUCAUGUUUAAUUUAAAUCUGUAGAGGUACAAUAAGAUUUUGUUCCUUUACAUGUAAAUUAAUAUUGCAAGUAAUAAGGAAAUUUCUAACUUAUGUGGGUGAAGUUUUCCUGAUCAUUUCUCUUGGUAAAUGGUGAGAAAUUACAGCUAAUGGGAAAAGCUCAAUUGGUAAUAGACUUUGCAGUUCUGUAAUAUCAAAGACUUCAGGAAGCUGACAGCAGGAACUAUUAUGUCUUUUUGUUCCUUUCCGUAAAAUGCAAUUUUAAUAAUUUCUGAUUUAUCCUCUUGGCUUUUUACUUAAUUGUGAUUCAGAGAAAUCCUCUCAGUUUAGAAUGAGUACCAAAGUAAUCAGGGUCUUGGGUUUAGAAUGAAUGGGCAAAUAUUUGCAAAUAUUAAGGUGAAAAUCCUUCCUCUGAAACUCCCUUAGGGUAUUUUUGAAUGCAAUAUUUUGGGGAUUUCAUUGGGCUGUUAACUGGAACCUGUAAAAAUGUUUCUUGAAUAAAAGCAAACUUGUAA